AAUCGGAACAACUCCGGGAAACUGGAGCUAAUACCGUAUGUGCCCGAAAGGGGAAAGAAUUAUCGCCUUUGGAUUGGCCCGCGUUGGAUUAGCUAGUUGGUGGGGUAAAAGCCUACCAAGGCGACGAUCCAUAGCUGGUCUGAGAGGACGACCAGCCACACUGGGACUGAGACACGGCCCAGACUCCUACGGGAGGCAGCAGUGGGGAAUCUUGGACAAUGGGCGCAAGCCUGAUCCAGCCAUGCCGCGUGGAUGAUGAAGGCCCUAGGGUUGUAAAAUCCUUUCGUUGGGGACGAUAAUGACGGUACCCAAAGAAGAAGCUCCGGCUAACUUCGUGCCAGCAGCCGCGGUAAUACGAAGGGGGCUAGCGUUGUUCGGAUUUACUGGGCGUAAAGCGCGUGUAAGCGGGCUGGAAAGUUGGGGGUGAAAUCCCGAGGCUCAGCCUCGGAGCUGCCUCCUAAACUUCCAGCCUGGACUCAAGUACAGGCGAGUGUAAUUGCGAGUGUAGAGGUGAAUUCCGUACCUAUUCGCAGGAACAGCCCUGGCGAACGCGACUUGCAGGACUUGCAUUGACGCU
rnacentral:rRNA from 1 species